rnacentral:rRNA from 1 species
UACGUAGGGUGCAGGCGUUAAUCGGAAUUACUGGGCGUAAAGCGUGCGCAGGCGGUUUGCUAAGACAGGUGUGAAAUCCCCGGGCUUAACCUGGGAACUGCGCUUGUAACUGGCAAGCUAGAGUGUGGCAGAGGGGGGUGGAAUUCCACGUGUAGCAGUGAAAUGCGUAGAUAUGUGGAGGAACACCGAUGGCGAAGGCAGCCCCCUGGGCUAACACUGACGCUCAUGCACGAAAGCGUGGGGAGCAAACAGG